UACAGAGGUCUCAAGCGUUGUUCGGAUUCAUUGGGGCGUAAAGGGCGCGUAGGCUGCGGGGGUAAGUCGGGGUGUGAAAUCUCAGGGCUCAACCCUGAAACUGCACUCGAUACUGCUCUGCUUGAGGACUGGAGAGGAGACUGGAAUUCACGGUGUAGCAGUGGAAAUGCGUAGAUAUCGUGAGGAAGACCAGUGGCGAAGGCGGGUCUCUGGACAGUUCCUGACGCU
rnacentral:rRNA from 1 species